rnacentral:misc_RNA from 1 species
GGCAUUGAAUUCGUCAAGUGUGAAAAUGAUUGGUCUUGCUGUGGCGAUAAUCAACUUCCCUUGAGUUUUCUGUUCUGGGCACCUUCAUUACUAUGCAUAAUUACUUUGCUUUAGCAACUAAUUGCAUAAAAAUGUUGCUCAUUUGUUGUAUAUUUUGCUUGUUUAGGUACAUGUUUGUGGUAUCGAUGGUAAGAUGUUCCAUCACAGCUUGAAUUCAUUCU